GUAAAUCAAGCGCCUCUUUCAUAUUUAUAUUUAUGAACCCUAGAUCCUAAAUCACCCGAACCCUGUUGUUUGCGUUUUCUUUAGAUAAAACAAUAAUUGCGGGUUUAGAGUUUCUCAAUUGCAUACAUCGGCUGUUUCAGAUGUCUUGGAGUAUUUAGGGUUUUUCAAUCAACUUGAUGUCGUCGAGAAUCACCAGGGUUUUGUGAGAAUUGCGAGUUUAAGGUUUUCCAAUCAUGGAAUUUGACGAUCAUCUGACGUGUUCUUGGUCUGCCGUAGAAUUAAUUAACAGCAGGUUGUUAUUGUAGCAUGCUUCUGAAGCAGAAACAAGUCAUCGAAUGCCCUUCCAUAUGAUACAUCUGGUCAAACCUUAUGGCAUUUGAGAAACCAUAAGGAGCCCCACCUCAGCUGUUGGCAGAUUUUCUAACGCCUUGAAGUUUAUCGUCGAAGAGUCCUCAGCCCCCUGGAGCUUAACGGAAACUGAAACAGAUUAUGCAAUAAUGCUAUGACGCACAUAUUCGACAAACUUGUCUCGAAGUACAGUACUGGGGCAGUUACUGACUUACUGGAUAUGUCAUAUAGUUGUCAUAGAUGCUUUUAAAGCGGAAGAAUUUGCUGAGGUGGCAACGAAGCCUCUGAAAGCCCUUCCAUAUGACACACCUGGUUGAAGUUUAUGGCAUUUGAGUACCCCAUAAGGGGUCCCAGCUCAUCUGUUGGCAGAUUUUUGACAUGUUGAAGUUUAUCGUCAAAGAGGUCCCUAAACUUGUAUGAAAAAAAAGAUGCAAGCAUUAGCCAAAUUGGGAAGUGAACAUGUUAGAAAAUAUCUUCAUUUGCCUUUUUGAUGAAGUUCAACGCGUGACAAGUGUAAAUGUAGGGGUGACAAGUGUAAUACAAAGAUGCUGUUAGUGGAUUAUAUAGAUGCUGCAUGUGCAAAUUUGAUGAAGUUCAACGCGUGAACUUUUUCCCGAGUGAAGUUUCACGCGUGGAACUUAAUGGUGGCGGCGGUGUUCCGAUGCUUAUCACUCGUGAUGGAACCUCCAUCAAGGACCACCCCCAGUCCCCUUAUUAGUUAAACAAUGUAAAAGAAGGUUGUGAAUGUAUGAGAUUGCUUUGACAAUUUGAAACUUUCCUUUUUUAUGUACUCGUUAAACCUUUUCUUUAUUAAGAAGAUUCAGUUUCUCUU
rnacentral:lncRNA from 1 species